rnacentral:misc_RNA from 1 species
UUCCAUAGUGAGAAAAAAAUCGACUAAAAUUUUUUUUCUAUAUGCAGUGUGAAAAAAUUGUUAAAAUAAAGCAAAAAUUGUGAAGAAGUAAUAAAAAAUUAUACGCAUAAUGGAGGUUGCUACGGAUGUAAGCAAAAAUAUAAAUGCAAAAUCUAUUGAAUCUUCUAAUAGUGAGGGAAAAGCAGAUUCAGAUAUUGACGGUGUAAAGACAGCACCGCCUGUGAACAACGCCAUUAAUGGUGCGGCAAAUGAAAAUUUGACCGAGACAACCACACCAGAAGUUGUGGCUCCUAGUAAGGAAUCUUGGACACCUGCACAAAAUCCUGUGCCAUUUGCCGGACAUGGCGGUGGCCCACCAGGAUCGUUUAGGGGCCGUGGGGGCUUAAUAAUGCAUUUUAAUCGCGGUGGCGGUAGGGGAGGUGCUUCAAACUUUGGUAAUCGUCCACUUGAUCCAAAUUCACAAAACAAUUCUGGACAUAAUGCACUCGCGCCGCCAGGUGGUCCACAGUUGGAGUUAUGGGUAGAAACUAAAACGGAAGAUGGCAAAUCUUACUAUUAUCAUGCCUUAACUAGGGAAACAACAUGGACAAAACCAGAGGGACCAAAUAUUAAGGUUAUGACACAAACUGAAAUUGAAGAAAUGAAUAAAAAACAACAUCAACUGCAACAACCAUCGCAAAACAAUCAAGCACCACCAAGUGGGGCCUCUAAUAUAACCAAUGGGAAUGCAGAGGAAGCGGCUAAGGAAAAAACAGACAGUGCAACUGCUAUUCCAGAAAAAACAAUCACAUCACAGCCUCCACCGGGCAUGAUGUCACAGCCUCCUCCAGGCCAACAACCAUUAUCACAACCUCCUCCUAAUUUGGCACCAUCUGGUAUGCCACCAGGACCUCAACACCAACAUCCUCCAGGAUUACAUCAACAACCUCCACCAUUCUUUGGCGGAGGCAUGCAUCCGCCAAAUUUCAACCAACCUCCAUUUGGUAUGCCUCCCCCUGGUUAUGGUGGCGGUUUUCCAGGUGCUCCCGGUGCUGCACCAUGGGCUGCUAUGCAUUGGAAUCAACAUAUGCAUCCACCAGCAGCUGCCCAAGAAAAACCGGCUAAAAAUCUUAUAAUUAAACCUGGUGUUAUUGAUCCGGCUGUUAUAGCCAGAGCUGCAGAAUGGUCGGAACACAGAGCUCCGGAUGGGCGUCCGUAUUAUUAUCAUGCCGGUAGGGGUGAAAGUGUUUGGGAAAAGCCACAAGCUUUACGUGAUAUGGAAGCUGCUCGUAUGGCCGCUCAUGGUGCUACACCUCAACCUACUGCGUCGGCUCCUCCCACUCCAGCUUUAGUGUCAGGCAUGCCACCGCAUAUGAUGGCAAAUCCUUUAAUGCAUAUGCAGGCACCGAAUCCGGCUUUCACCGCGGAUCCAGCAAUAGCUUAUGCCCAAGCCGCUGCAGCAGCAGCGGCCGCCGCUGGUAUUAAACCUAUGACUGAAUCGUCCAAAACAGCCGCUAUUGAAAAAGAAGCCAAGAAGAAUGCCGAAGAAAAGCGCAAAAAAGAAGAUGAACAAAAGAAAACGACAGCUGCAGCUAAGCCCGUAGAUAAAUCGAGGCCUAUCUCAAGCACACCAAUACCAGGCACUCCCUGGUGUGUUGUCUGGACCGGUGAUGCUAGGGUUUUCUUCUAUAACCCUUCAACGCGAACUUCCGUUUGGGAACGACCAGAAGAUUUACUAGAACGCGAAGAAGUCGACAAAGCCAUUAACAAUCCUCCGGAACAACUAAAAGGUGUCAUGGCUACAAAGGCGGACAAGUUGGAAGGUGAAAGGGAGAGGGCAAAGCUGGUAGAAGUUCCAGAUCUAACGAAACAGCUUACUGAAUUUGUUAUACAGGAGGAUGAUGACGAUGAUGAUGUUGUUAUUAGAAUAAGAACAGAAUCCGAAUCAGAUGUUGAAGAAGUCCCAGCUAAGAAAACACGUUCAAUCAAAUCCAAAAAGGCCGAUGCCACUGAAGCAGCUAUUGAGGCCGAGGUAAGAGCCGCUAAAGAACGUGCUCUCGUACCCUUGGAAACACGAGUAAAACAAUUUAAGGAAAUGUUACGUGAAAAAGAUGUUUCGGCUUUUAGCACUUGGGAAAAAGAACUACAUAAGAUUGUAUUCGACCCACGCUAUCUAUUGCUAACAUCUAAGGAACGCAAACAAGUUUUUGAAAAAUACGUAAAAGAUCGUGCUGAAGAGGAGCGCAAGGAAAAACGCAAUAAAAUGAGACAAAAGAGAGAUGAUUUUCGGAAACUUUUGGAGGAUGCUAAGCUGCAUGGAAAAUCUUCGUUUAGUGAUUUUUGUCAGCGCUAUGGCAAAGAUGAACGUUACAAGGCAAUUGAAAAAGUGCGCGAGCGUGAAUCGCUCUUCAAUGAAUAUCUCUUGGAUGUAAGGAGACGAGAGAAAGAAGAAAAACAACAGAAAAAAGAACAGAUUUCAGCCUUUCGAUCACAAUAUCCAUCCACCAACCACUUUGUGUGUGUGUGAGAGUGUGUGUUAAUUUUACAUUUUAUUGUAAAAUGCGAUGAAAUUAAUACAAAGGUAUUGAAACUUAAAAGGAUGUGAUUAAAAGGCAACUACUUACCACUCCCUUUACUCUUUCUCUUUUUCCGUGUGAGUGUAUGUGAGAAUAUUGAUGUGGGUAUGUGCGAGAGCAACCCCCCAAAUUCUAAUUGAUUGAUCGAAGGUGGUUACUUAAAGAAACAGACAAAUUAUAAAUGAUAGAAAGAUAAGCAAACAAACAAACAAACUUUAACACAUGGGAUAGCCUGAUUAUUGAGAAGAAACCCCUGAGGACUUUGACGUUAUCAUCAACCAUGCAAGGUAUUGAGCCGAGUGAACAACUACAACAACCCACCACCUGUUUAGCACAAUAAUAACCUUAACCUUAGAGCCUUAAUUAUCCACAGCGAGUGUGGUGAGUUAUCCAAUGAAAUCAAAAACAUAAAAAAUAAUAUUCUAACAGAAUCAGUUGAAUGUUGAUAAAAAUAUAAAAAAAAACUAUUACAAAAAAUCACAAAUACAAAACUAUGCUGAUUUAUAUCGUUGGUGAUUUACCCCCCUUCUGUUAGGCUAAAUAGAGGAUUUCGGAUAGACAUACUUCUUCAAUCAUAGAUGGAGGCAGAAAUCAUCAAAUAUCAAGGAUUUAUCUACGUCUAUGUUGUGCCAUUGUAUUGUACUGUUUUCUUGUAUUUUGAUUUGAUUGCUGCUGCUUU